GGACCAGCCUUGUGCCGUUGUGUUGUUGUGUUUUCCUAUUUGCCGUUGCGUUUUCCUAUUUGCCGUUGAGUUUUCCUAUUCGCCCAAUCGCCGUUGAGUUUUCCUAUUCGGCGUUGUGUUUUACUAUUUGCCGUUGUGUUUUUAUUUGCCUUUGUGUUUUGCUAUUUGCCGUUGUGUUUUGCUAUUUGCCGUUGUGUUUUGCACUUCAGGGCCACCGUACACGCCCCCUGGAAGGGCAAAAAACACUUUCUGCUUCAUACUCAAUUCUUACUUUGAGUCUGUUGCUUUUGUGUUGCCAAAAUGCCGGAUAGUUGUUGUGCUAUCGGAUGCACUAAUCGAAGAGGAGGCAUGAGCUGUGUUUCUAUAGAAUUCCGUCCGAUAAAGAAAGCCAAGAGAGGAGGAGAUUGUGGAUUUGCGCCAUUAUUAAACGUAACCUUACUUCUCCCUGCGGGGAGGGCAAACAAUGGCAGCCGUCCAAAUAUACACGUAUUUGCAGCGAACACUUAAUCAAAGGUCAACCUGCAUAUGAGAUGAUGGAGACUGACCCAGACUGGGCACCCUCCCUCUAUCUGGGUCACACAGAAAUCACUUGCACCAACACUGCACAAUCUGCAAGUCAAAGGAAGAGGGACCAAAGAAAAACCCCACUGCAGCCUGCUGAAGCCGAUGAGCAACACACUGUGGAUGAGACACACGAGGCUGAAGGAGGUGGUGCCAAAUCUGAUGACCCGUUGUCCCCUGACUGGGUACCAUCCAUCUUCACACACACACCAGCCAUCAAGAAGAGAAAAGGGGAGAGUUAUGAGCAGCACAACAGAAUGAAGAGCAAGUGGGUGGAGGAGAAGAAGAAGUCAGAUGCAAUGGAUGUCCUCCUAGAACUGUCAUCAGAGCCUGAUGCUGAGCUGGCGCCACUUGAGGAGGAAGAACAACAGUGUGACAACAGACUUUGUAAGGAAAAGACUGAAAGAUUACAAAAGGAAUGUAAUGAGCUCAGGGAGGAAAACCAAAGGUUGCGCUCAUCCAAUGUAAAGUGGAUGUAAAUACCUGAGAGAGUGUGGUGUGUUGUUGGUUGGUUGGGGGGGGGGGGGGGCUUGCCCGGGGCGCCAAAUGUGCUAGGACCCCCACUGUUGGUUGGGGCCUUGUAGGCCACAGGAUCGAAUACUAAGCGAGCGGGAGAGGAGGACGGUGAGAGAGUUCCAAUUGUUUUGAAUGCAUUGUUGAUUUCAGAUGACUUGAAAAUAAAUUGUCUUUUUUUUUUUUACCUUUAACAAAGUGUGAUAUUUGAAUGAUUACGAUUCAAAACAAAUUGUGAGAACAAUUCAUUCAGUCUGUUACAGUACUAUUAAUAAUCCAGUAGACGCUAUCUGAAAAACUUGUUAUAGGCAGGUAUGGAGGAUUACAAACUUUACAUAACGUAUUUCUUCGAAUAAACGCUGCCCUCGAAUUAACGCCUCACCAAAAAUGAACGUUAUUUAAUAAACGCUGCAGCAUUUAUUUGAAAAAAUACAGUACUUUUAGUCUCGGGUCAGUGUGUGUGUGUGUUUUAAGGUUGAAGGAGUAGAAAUUCAACAUUUGCUGAAUUGUACGAUGCAUUACCUCAGUAAAAUAAUCAAGGGUUCAAAAUGGUAA